GAGUUGUCCCUCUCCUCAUACCCGGAUGUAUCCAAUUCACUGGUCAUGGGAUAGACCAAGCCGUUUAAUUUGACCAAUUCUUGCGGAUGGGGGUAACACAGGAAAUAUUAGGGGUAGAGGGAGGGGGAGGUCAGGUGACCAUUUGGGUCACAGCUCUUCUCAGUUUACCCAACUCAACCUUCUGACAGACAAACAUUCACACAAGAGUCAACACAUUGGUGUGGGACUGGAGUUACAUGUAGGCCAGACCAGUUGGUGUAGGAAGGCCGUACAUCACAAGGAUGGACGUGUUCACGGAAUCACACAGUGCUGAAGAGGCCCUUCGGCCCAUCGAGUCUGCACCGACACGUGUUGGCUGACUAGUGGCUGGAAUGUGGGGAAUCUUAAAGCAAGCUAAACCGAGAGGAGGAGUUUGCCACAGCUAUUCCCUUAUUACGGUCAACUGGCUACAGACCACCCCAGCUAUGCAGGCCUGUCAUUUUUCCUUUUAUUAGUAUUUCGAAUAUUAAUUCAGGAAUAAAUCGUGCCCAAUCAGCUCUGUAUUUACAGUAAUUACUGUGCCUGCUGGAGGCAUUAGUUCCCGGAGGUUCAACAGCAUGGUGCGGACUGAGAUUACAGGAGAUCUACAGCUUCUGAAAGGACAGGGCCCUGGCCCAGGAUGAAAUUAUUAGGGUGACCAUAUUUUCUAAAUCAAAUCGAGAUGCACAGCCCAAGGUUCAGCCGCACCACCCAAUCUGGCUCCGCUCACUUGUCCAGUUACCAGCGGUUCCCACCACUCGCAUAUUUUGGCUCCAGGCCCCAUU